UGGUGGCAGCGGUGGAGUCCUUUAUAUCCGGAACAUGUUGUUAGCUUUACUCUGUCGUGCUGUAGGUAUAACCUACGGACUAAGUGAAUAUGUGGCCCCUGGCUGAGUGAGUGGUAGUCUACCGCCCACUCCUGCUGGGCCCACAGUUACCUUCAACUGCUACCAGCACUGAUGUCUGUCUGACUGGAUACUCCAUGCCCAUCUCCAGUACCUGUGCACACCACAAAUCACUGUUACUUGUUAUAAUAAACACUGUUAUGGGUAAUCACUUCAAUCACACCGGAUUACAAGAACUUUCGUUUUCUUCUGUAUAAACAAAGCUUUCUGUUUUAACAUAGUUGAUAUAUUACACAGUGAGCGAGAAGACAGUUGUGGUGGGAUGCUUCGCCUGCCCCUGCAUUCCAUUCUCUGGUCCCCUGGGACCUGACGCAAAGCUUCUGACCGUCCUCCUAUCACCACGUGGGAGUGAAGUCAACUCUCGCCCCUUUGUCUCUUGGACGCCAGCCCCAGCUGUGACCUGAGCCAGCCCAGCAACCACCCCAGCAUCGGGAUUCCUUGCCCGCCUUGCCUCGGUGGCGGACAUGUGGCUCAGUGGCAGCUCAUCAUAUCAUCUUUGUACAGUUUUGAUUUAAUAUACUGCAGUUGAUUUUACAACUGUAUUUCUUUGGCCACCACCUCUACACAGUACUAGAAGAACCUGAUUACCUAGUGCAUAAAAAUAGUAGCAGCGGUGAGAUGGAGUUUUCUUGGCUACUCAACUCCUGCCCACGUGCCCUAUUCAUCGCCAGCUACUCCAGCUACCUUCAUCGCCUCCGGGUUACCUGCUAAGCCAUCACCGAUGCAUUUCUGCUAAGCCGUCACUGACGCAAACUCCUACACUACUACACGUCUACAGCGCUUUCUUCAGCUACUUUCCGGGACUCUUUCAAGCUUCUGCCAAGCCUGCCCCAUCAGCCUGUUCCCAUACGACUUCAAGCCAUCACCGACGCCGUCCUUGUUUCAAGUCUGGACUUUUCAAGCCGUCAUCGACGCAACUCGACUGCUUUGCUGCUGAUCCCAUCGUUCCAAGAUUUUGGAUCUGUUAGCCGUCAGUCUCCACUUCAACCUGCUCAUCGACUUGCUGCUGUUCUGUCGCUUCAAAAUUGGACUUCUCAGCCAUCAGUCUUCUGCUGCAAGCUGUGAUGUUUUCUCGUGGCCGUCUCUGCACCCACCACACACGACGAAGAUUAUCUCCAUCAUGUGUGUUAUUUGUGCAACGUUAUGAUUUUUGUAGUGUAUUAGUGUUAUUUUGCAAUUUAUUUUGCAUAGAAACGCCUUAUUCUCUUGUUUUAGGCCUCUAGUGUUGUGCUAGUGUUUUUCUUGGCUUGUGAUUCGCUGUGCUGACGUCACAGUUACGUGAGUUUUGUGAUUGGCCACUGUGCUCUCUCUUCUGAUGUCAAUGCUAUGUGAGUUUUGUGAUUCACCAAUGCAUGCCCACUGUUCUGAUGUCAUUGUUCUAUGAGCCUUGCGAAUGGCUAUAGCGCAUACAUCACGUGUCUUACACCGAUAAGCGUGUCCUUAUGAUAUGAAUUAUGUUUCAGCGUGCUUGCAUCACCCCACAUGCUUUGUUCGUUGCGAGUACGCCACGAGAAGGGUGGCCGACCGAUGUGGUGGGACGCUUCGCUCGCCCCUGCAUUCCAUUUUCCGUUUCCCUGGGACCUGAUGCCAAGCCUCUGGCCACCCGCCUAUCACCACGUGGCAGUGGGGUCAACCCUCACCCCUUUGUCUCCUGGACGCCACCCCCAGCUGUAACCUGAGUCAGCCCAGCAACCACCCCAGCAUCAGGAAUCUUUGUCCGCCUUCCUUCGGAAAGAGACCACAUAUGCAUGCAACGACGUUCAAAGAGGACCAGCGAAUUACAGAGGCACCGAGUGUGGGUAAGAUGCCGUAUCCUGUUUGCCUGAGAAACAACCUUGGACUAUGCAUCAGGAGGCAUCCACACAACACUUUGGACUUCUGCACUAAUCUUUUCUGAGCAGCAUGCAAACAAAGGACUGGAUUUUUGGUCACGGGUGACUUUUUCUGAUGAUCGAUAAAAUCAGGUAAAAGCCUCACAUCAUCUACCAGAAGAAAAGGAGCGGCCAUGUCACUGGCAAUGUUUUUUUUUAUGGAUUUUCAUGGAUGACGUGGGUAACGUGAUUGAAAUGGGAAAAAAGAUCCACUGUUUCUAUUUGGACCUUCUUGAGAACUUCCUGCUCCCUUCACCCCAAAUUAAAAAGUGCCCCGCUCACCCUGGGGUCAUUAUAUUCGUCCAGGUCCCAACCCUAUCCAUACGGCGAAGGAAUGAUUUUCAUAUCGAAAUGACAUGAUGCCUCUAAAAUGUCCUACGUUCCGACCUUAGUCUAAUAGAGCAUGUAUAUUUAUAUAUGGUCAACAGAAUGGAAUGACAGCAGGAAGUCUUCACUACUUAUUUGCCCACAAGGGACUGAAUAAAUUCUUUGU